CCUACGGGGGGCAGCAGUGAGGAAUAUUGGUCAAUGGACGCAAGUCUGAACCAGCCAUGCCGCGUGCAGGAAGACGGCUCUGUGAGUUGUAAACUGCUUUUGUACGAGGGUAAACGCAGAUACGUGUCUCUGUCUGAAAGUAUCGUACGAAAAAGGAUCGGCUAACUCCGUGCCAGCAGCCGCGGUAAUACGGAGGAUUCGAGCGUUAUCCGGAUUUAUUGGGUUUAAAGGGUGCGUCGGCGGUCGGAUAAGUUAGAGGUGAAAUCCCGGGGCUCAACUCCGGAAUUGCCUUUGAUACUGGUCGGCUAGAGAGUAGUUGAGGUAUGCGGAAUGUGUGGUGUAGCGGUGAAAUGCUUAGAGAUCAUGCAGAACACCGAUUGCGAAGGCAGCUUACCAGGCUACUUCUGACGUUGAGGCACGAAAGCGUGGGGAGCGAACAGGAUUAGAUACCCCUGUAGUC
rnacentral:rRNA from 1 species